rnacentral:rRNA from 1 species
GACGAACGCUGGCGGCGUGCUUAACACAUGCAAGUCGAGCGAUGAAGCUCCUUCGGGAGUGGAUUAGCGGCGGACGGGUGAGUAACACGUGGGUAACCUGCCUCAAAGUGGGGGAUAGCCUUCCGAAAGGAAGAUUAAUACCGCAUAAAGCAAAGCUUCACAUGAAGUUUUGAUGAAAGGAGUAAUCCGCUUUGAGAUGGACCCCGCGGCGCAUUAGCUAGUUGGUGAGGUAACGGCUCACCAAGGCAACGAUGCGUAGCCGACCUGAGAGGGUGAUCGGCCACAUUGGAACUGAGAUACGGUCCAGACUCCUACGGGUGGCAG